GUAGGGGGCGAGCGUUAUCCGGAUUUAUUGGGCGUAAAGCGUGUGUAGGCGGUUUAUUAAGUAUAAGAUCAAAGCCUGGAGCUCAACUCCAGUAAGUCUUAUAAACUGGUAGACUAGAGUAUGGUAGAGGCAAGUGGAAUUUCUAGUGUAGCGGUAAAAUGCGUAGAUAUUAGAAGGAACACCAGUGGCGAAGGCGGCUUGCUGGGCCAGAACUGACGCUGAGACACGAAAGCGUGGGGAGCAA
rnacentral:rRNA from 1 species